rnacentral:lncRNA from 1 species
GGAUGCUGACGUCCAGAGAGGUUAAGCACUGGGAUCUAGGCCACACAGCCAGGCAGCCGCAGCUUCCGGAUUCAAACCCAGUAGCUGUUGACCGACCGAGCAUGGCUUGAUGAGCAGUGCCAUGUCUGCACCUGGAUCUGAACGAGUGAACCCCAGGCCGCUGAAGCGGAACAUGCACACUUAACCACUGCACCACCGAGCCGGCCCCUCAGCUGGGAUUUUUCAAGUCGCCAGUCUUUCCAUCUGCAGGCCAGGAUCGCAGAUCCCUGUCCAGUCCACUGUGAGGCCAACGAUAAUGACAGCUCCUGGACACAGCACGUUUGCAUAGUGCUUGACGCAGCUUCACUCCUGUCAUCCUCACCGCUUUGUGCAAUUAACGGCACCAUCGGACCCAUGAAGAAAAUGAGGCACAGAGAGGUCUUUCAAAAACAGACUCCGAGAUAAGGAAGCGGCAAGCUUUGGAGAUGCUCAAGAGAAAAUGCAGCCAUUAAAAAAAUUGCCAUGCGAUAGUUAUGAAAUUUCCCUAAAUUCAUUUUGUGGAGUGAGAGACAUAAUUUAAACGUGAAGUUAUCGAGAGCUGAGAUGAACCACACGUCACGUGCCAUUUAAUCUGGCAAGGAAACAGGCCACUUGGAAUUGCUAACUAGGCCUAAUUCAUUACGUCUUGGUGAACGCUGUACUUUUGCUCUUUGAGUCUUUCAACUUGUGCGUUUAAUGUGUUUACCCAGGCCUCAUGGAAAAUGGAUGGGGAUAGUAACAGAAAUACUGUAUCCUUGUUUAAAUCACGUUACAUUUUUCAAACAGCUCGGUGAUUGUUCAGAAAGAUCAUACCUUCUUCCGAAGCAUUUAUGAAACAAUUAUUUACAUUACAUUAAAAACUUUAAUUGCCUUGAAGCACGUGCUCUGAGACACAAAUAUUGGAAAAUCAUCAAAAAUAUCUGUCACGAUUCUCUCUCCUUUACAACUCUUCUAAACUUUAUGUUUUUUAUAACCCUCUGUAUUGAUCUAUUGUCCCAGACCAAGAGUGAUGUCAGAAGUCCAAGCUGGGUCAUAAAAAGAGAAUAUAAUUUUCA